GACGAACGCUGGCGGCGUGCUUAACACAUGCAAGUCGAACGAUGAAGCCCAGCUUGCUGGGUGGAUUAGUGGCGAACGGGUGAGUAACACGUGGGCAACCUGCCCCAAACCCUGGGAUAACUCCUCGAAAGAGGUGCUAAUCCCGGAUACGAACUCGACAGACACCCGUACUAGUCGGAAAGUUUUUCGGUUUGGGAUGGGCCCGCGGCCUAUCAGCUUGUUGGUGAGGUAACGGCACACCAAGGCGACGACGGGUAACCGGCCUGGGAGGGCGACCGGUCACACUGGGACUGAGACACGGCCCAGACUCCUACGGGAGGCAGCAGUGGGGAAUAUUGCGCAAUGGGCGAAAGCCUGACGCAGCGACGCCGCGUGAGGGAUGAAGGUCUUCGGAUCGUAAACCUCUUUCAGUAGGGACGAAGCGAAAGUGACGGUACCUAAAGAAGAAGCACCGGCUAACUACGUGCCAGCCGCCGCCGUAA
rnacentral:rRNA from 1 species